rnacentral:rRNA from 1 species
GUGCCAGCCGCCGCGGUAAUACGGAGGGUGCAAACGUUGUUCGGGAUCACUGGGCGUAAAGCGCGUGUAGGCGGCGCGAUAAGUCAGAUGUGAAAGCCCUCGGCUCAACCGGGGAAGUGCAUUUGAAACUGUCGCGCUAGAGUACGGGAGAGGGUCGUGGAAUUCCUGGUGUAGAGGUGAAAUUCGUAGAUAUCAGGAGGAACACCGGUGGCGAAGGCGGCGACCUGGACCGAUACUGACGCUGAGACGCGAAAGCGUGGGGAGCAAACAGGAUUAGAAACCCUCGUAGUCC